rnacentral:rRNA from 1 species
UACAGAGACUGCAAGCGUUAUUCGGAUUCACUGGGCGUAAAGGGUGCGCAGGCGGCCGUGUGUGUAAGGUGUGAAAUCCCGAGGCUCAACCUCGGAACUGCGCCUUAAACUACAUGGCUAGAGUAUUGGAGAGGGUAACGGAAUUCACGGUGUAGCAGUGAAAUGCGUAGAUAUCGUGAGGAACACCAGAGGCGAAGGCGGUUACCUGGACAAUUACUGACGCUCAGGCACGAAAGCAUGGGGAGCAAAAGGG